CAAUUAAGAGUAAAAAAAGAUGACAUUGGCAAGUUACCUUUGGUAUUUGCAUGUUUGCUUGAAUGUUUUCAUUUUUUAAGAUGAGGAAAGUAAGUUUCAGAGAGGUUAUAUAAUUCACCAAGGUGGCAUCAAUGUGUGACCUCAAGUCUGUUGUACCCAAAGCCUUUGGAUCUGUUUCACCACUCAGUGGCCCCUAAUGUUGACACAGAGAUGAAGGUGAAGGAGAAGAAGGGAAAAACCACAGGAGGACAGAGGGAAAAGCUGAUCAUCUGCAGUCCGGGAAGCAAGCUCUCACCAGACAUGAAUCUGCCAGCAUCUUGAUCUUGGACUUCCAGCCUCUUGAGCAGAAAGAAAUGUUUGUUGCUUAAGUCAUUCAGUAUGUGGGAUUUUUUAAAAAAAAUAGAAGUCCACCCUAAGCUAUAUC